AAUAAAGUGCCUGAACAAAGGAUUAUCAUGAUAGGAUAAAUAACGUAAUGUAAAAUUACCUUUAUUA
rnacentral:tRNA from 1 species